rnacentral:rRNA from 1 species
AUUGAACGCUGGCGGCAGGCCUAACACAUGCAAGUCGAGCGAGCGGCGGACGGGUGAGUAAUGUCUGGGAAACUGCCUGAUGGAGGGGGAUAACUACUGGAAACGGUAGCUAAUACCGCAUACCAUCAGAUGUGCCCAGAUGGGAUUUGCUAGUGGGUGGGGUAAUGGCUCACCUAGGCGACGAUCCCUAGCUGGGCUGGGAGGUUGACCGGCCACACUGGAACUGGAACACGGUCCGGACUCCUACGGGAGGCAGCAGUGGGGAAUAUUGGACAAUGGGCGCAAGCCUGAUGCAGCCAUGCCGCGUGUGUGAAGAAGGCCUUCGGGUUGUAAAGCACUUUCAGCGAGGAGGCGUUACUCGCAGAAGAAGCACCGGCUAACUCCGUGCCAGCAGCCGCGGUAAUUC